CCUUGGGGUAGCUUACAUAUAUAUUUAAAGCAUCUCUCUUUUGUUCUGUCUGGCUUCUUCGUUCACAGUUUCUUUCUACCUGCCUAUGGCUAGCUAGAUAGGGGACUGAGAGCGGCUAAAGAAGACAGAUAAAAAAUUAAAAAAAAAAAUUAAAUAAGAAAGAAAGAAGCCAAUUUUGUUUAAAAGGCUUUCUUUCUUUCAUCAUGGCCUCUGAUAUCUCGUUUGAGGAUCUCAAGAAGAAUGUUGAUCUUGAAAAGAUCCCGGUUGAAGAGGUCUUUGUGCAGCUGAAAUGUACCAGACAGGGUCUAACAUCUGCAGAAGGAGAGAAGAGGCUCCAGAUUUUUGGCUACAAUAAAUUAGAAGAGAAAAAGGAGUGCAAGGUCCUAAAGUUUUUGGGUUUCAUGUGGAAUCCUCUAUCAUGGGUUAUGGAGUGUGCAGCUAUCAUGGCCAUUGUAUUGGCCAAUGGAGGGGGCAAGCCACCGGAUUGGCAAGAUUUCACUGGUAUUGUAGUUUUACUUAUCGUGAACUCAACCAUCAGUUUCAUCGAGGAAAACAAUGCAGGCAAUGCUGCAGCUGCUUUGAUGGCUGGUCUUGCACCCAAAACCAAGGUGUUGAGGAAUGGAAAAUGGGGAGAAGAAGAUGCAUCAAUUUUGGUACCUGGAGAUGUGAUUAGCAUCAAGUUGGGAGAUAUUGUCCCUGCUGAUGCCCGUCUCUUGGAGGGAGAUCCUCUCAAAAUUGACCAGGCUGCUCUCACUGGUGAAUCCUUGCCAGUCACAAGGAACCCUGGUGAUGGAGUCUUCUCUGGUUCCACCUGCAAACAAGGUGAAAUUGAAGCUGUUGUCAUUGCCACCGGUAUCAACACCUUCUUUGGCAAGGCUGCUCAUCUUGUAGACAGCACCAACAAUGUCGGUCACUUUCAACAGGUGUUGACAUCUAUUGGUAACUUUUGUAUCUGCUCAAUUGCUGUGGGCAUGGUGAUAGAGAUCAUUGUGAUGUACCCCAUCCAGCAUAGGUCUUACAGAGAUGGAAUUGAUAACUUAUUGGUGCUUCUCAUUGGUGGUAUCCCAAUUGCCAUGCCUACUGUCUUGUCAGUUACCAUGGCAAUUGGGUCUCACCGUUUGUCCGAACAAGGAGCCAUCACCAAGAGAAUGACAGCCAUUGAAGAAAUGGCAGGGAUGGAUGUUCUCUGCAGUGACAAAACUGGAACUCUCACCCUCAAUAAGCUUACUGUGGACAAGAACUUGAUUGAGGUGUUCCCCAAGGGCAUGGACAAGGACACCCUUGUCCUACAUGCAGCCAGAGCUUCCAGAACUGAAAACCAGGAUGCCAUUGAUUCAUCGAUUGUGGGAAUGUUAAGUGACCCUAAGGAGGCAAGAGCAGGAAUCACCGAGGUGCAUUUCUUGCCUUUUAAUCCUGUGGACAAGCGCACUGCUAUUACCUUCAUUGACGGCAAUGGUGACUGGCACAGAAGCAGCAAAGGUGCUCCUGAGCAAAUCAUUGAACUUUGUGGCCUCAAAGGAGAGACCCUGAAAAGGGCACACAAGGUUAUUGAUGAAUAUGCUGAUCGGGGUCUGCGUUCCUUGGGUGUUGCUCGCCAGAGUAUUCCAGAGAAGACGAAGGAGAGUGCUGGAGAUGCAUGGGAGUUUUUGGGUCUCCUACCUCUCUUUGAUCCUCCAAGGCAUGAUAGUGCUGAGACCAUUCGUCGGGCUAUUGAACUUGGAGUGAAUGUUAAAAUGAUCACCGGAGACCAACUUGCAAUUGGCAAAGAAACCGCUCGCAGACUUGGAAUGGGCACCAACAUGUACCCUUCAUCUUCCCUCCUUGGUGGUGAUUCCACGGAUGGAUCCCUUUCUACAAUCACAGUUGAUGAUCUCAUUGAGAAGGCUGACGGAUUUGCCGGAGUCUUCCCUGAGCACAAGUACGAGAUUGUAAAGAGGUUGCAGGACAGAAAGCACAUUUGUGGCAUGACCGGAGAUGGUGUGAACGAUGCACCAGCACUGAAGAAAGCAGAUAUCGGCAUUGCGGUGGAUGAUGCAACUGACGCAGCAAGGAGUGCCUCUGAUAUUGUUCUGACCGAACCUGGACUCAGUGUGAUUGUGUGUGCUGUGUUGACAAGCAGGGCCAUUUUCCAGAGGAUGAAGAACUACACAAUCUACGCUGUUUCCAUCACAAUCCGCGUUGUGUUUGGGUUCUUGCUUGUUGCUUUAAUAUGGAAGUUCGACUUCGCUCCCUUCAUGGUUCUCAUCAUAGCCAUCUUGAACGACGGAACCAUCAUGACCAUAUCAAAAGACAGGGUCAAACCAUCUCCUUUGCCUGAUUCAUGGAAACUCAACGAAAUCUUUGCCACCGGAAUCGUUCUUGGAGCAUACAUGGCCAUCAUGACCGCAGUCUUCUUCUACCUUGUUCAUGACACUCAUUUCUUCACCGAUGUCUUUAAAGUGAGUCCAAUUGCAGAAAGUGAGGAGCAGCUUAACUCUGCUCUCUACCUUCAAGUGAGCAUCAUUAGUCAGGCACUCAUCUUUGUGACCAGAUCAAGGGGCUGGUCAUAUCUCGAGUGUCCUGGCGUGAUGCUCAUUGUUGCAUUCAUUUGUGCCCAACUGGUGGCCUCUGCGAUUGCUGUGUAUGCACAUUGGGACUUUGCGAAAAUCCAUGGAAUUGGGUGGGAAUGGGCUGGAGUAAUCUGGAUCUACAGUAUCAUCACCUACAUUCCUCUUGACAUCCUCAAAUUUCUCAUCCGCAUGGGGCUAGGCAGUGCUUGCGACACCACGCUCCCAGACAAGCCUUAGCACAAAGUAAACUUUCUUCUCUUUUUGCUCAACCAUCAAUCAAUGUGUAUCAUAAACAAGAAGAAUUACGGUAUUGGCGAAAAGGGAAGCCCAAUGGGCCGUGGCCCAACUAGCAAUGCACGGUCUUCAAGUCCCUGGAAUUGCUUACCAGUCACAAAUACCUUCCGAGGCAGCAAGAUUGAGAGAGCUAGACACCCCAAGGAAGAAAUGGGAUCGGUUGUGAAGUUGAAAGGUUUUGACAUUGAUAGCAUCCAACAAUACUACACAGCGUAAAAAUAAUUCUAUGGAUGAAAAAUCAGCCGAUUCAUGUUUUGUCGAAAAGAUAAGCAAACUUAGGCCAUUAGUGAAGGUGUAAUCAUAUAGUUUAAAGA